CGGUGGAGCAUGUGGUUUAAUUCGAAGCAACGCGAAGAACCUUACCAGGCCUUGACAUGCAGAGAACUUUCCAGAGAUGGAUUGGUGCCUUCGGGAACUCUGACACAGGUGCUGCAUGGCUGUCGUCAGCUCGUGUCGUGAGAUGUUGGGUUAAGUCCCGUAACGAGCGCAACCCUUGUCCUUAGUUACCAGCACGUUAAGGUGGGCACUCUAAGGAGACUGCCGGUGACAAACCGGAGGAAGGUGGGGAUGACGUCAAAUCAUCAUGGCCCUUACGGCCUGGGCUACACACGUGCUACAAUGGUCGGUACAAAGGGUUGCCAAGCCGCGAGGUGGAGCUAAUCCCAUAAAGCCGGUCUCAGUUCGGAUUGCAGGCUGCAAUUCGCCUGCAUGAAGUCGGAAUCGCUAGUAAUCGCAGGUCAGCAUACUGCGGUGAAUACGUUCCCGGGCCUU
rnacentral:rRNA from 1 species